rnacentral:rRNA from 1 species
UGACCCCAUGCCGAACUCAGAAGUGAAACGCCGUAGCGCCGAUGGUAGUGUGGGGCUUCCCCAUGUGAGAGUAGGGAACUGCCAGGU